CGUCGCUGGCCUGUCCCGGAGCAGGAGCACGCUCGGCAACGGGAUCUCGGCGCAAUCUGAGGAUCCUAGCUGAUAAUAGCAGGGGAAACGGCCCAGGCUGGCAGCACUAGCAGAGCAAGCCAAACC
rnacentral:SRP_RNA from 1 species